GGAACGCCGCCCCCGCCCCCGGGGCCCGCGUCACGACAGCCGGCUCCGCCUUACGGCCGCGCCGCGCCGCCGGGCGCUCGGCCUAUGGGAGGGCGCAGGGCGGGAGGCGGCGGCGCGGAUUGGCUGGGACCUGCUGCCGUAAAACGGCCGGGGCCGGCCGGGGAUUGGCUGGCGCUGGCUCAGCCCCGGCCGCCGCAGUCCUCUGGCGCGGAGGUGACGGUCGGUGGCGGCCGCCCGAGGGUCUGUGCCGCGGUACCCGCAAGGGCACCUUGGCCGGGCCGGGGUGCGCCCGGAGUGUCCGCGUGGGCGGCCCGGGUGCGCUCUGGGUACGCCCUGUCGGGGAGGCGGGACAGGAGGGUUCGGUUGGUCGGGUCUCUUUUUUAACUGUCCCCCCUCCCCCGCUUUUUUAUUUGCUGAUGUUUGAGGUGGGGGGAAGGGCAGAGAGAGAGGAAGACAGAUGAUCCAAAGCAGGCUCUGUGCUGCCUGCGCAGAGAGCGGCCGAGACCCUGACGCGGGGCUAGAACUCAAGGACCCGAGAGAGAACAUGACCUGAGCCGGAAUGGGUUGCUUAACCGACUGAGCCACCCAGGCGCCCUGGUUUUUAAAAUCUUCUGUUAGGGGCCCCAGAUGAAAACCAUCGGCCCUCACCAUGCCUUUUGGUGAAGGUGUAGGGGACGGGCGGCAGGCAGUCUCUGGUAGGAGCCUAAAUUGGAUGUCAACACUGCUGUGGGCGGUUGGUGGCGUGGAUUGACGUUGGCUAUGGACACGCCCUUUGGCCCAGCUGGCCCUUCUCCAGCGGCCCCCCCGCCCCCCCGACAGGCAAGCUUGUGCAAUUUCAGAUGCACAGCAUUAUUUUUAAUAUGUCCACCCACAGGGAGAGUUAGAUCACGCUGCAUCCAUUCCACUGAAUCAUGAGCAGUGGAUCAGAAGAAUCCUCUGCAGAUUCCUAGACCCCCGCAAGCUUAGAGCUUCAGGAGAUCUGGAGGGGAGCCUCUGAAAGCUGGUCAGUGACAGCAUGUGGAGAAACACUACUGAGGGCUCCUGUCCCCAGUUCCUGGUGUCACCACCAGGCCAGCUUCUGAACAUUCUGCUUGCCACAGUUCGGCCACACUUGGAUCUUCGAGGCUUCUGUUAAGGUCCCAUUGCGUGGAAGGUUUUCUUCUGGAAAUGGGGAUAACGAGGACCAUGUUGUCCAUCUGGGACAGCUGUUGUGAUGACAAGAGACAAUUUCCGAGGAGGACUUGGGGGCUUUUCCAGUGCGAACCCAACCGAGCGUUGCCGGCACAAAGUUCCUUCCUGGAAAGAAACGCUUCGGUGUCUCGACUCUGUGCGAACCUCGGUGUCCGUUCCACUCUCUCUGCCCCCGCCUGUGCGCACUGUCUCUGUCGCUCUCUAAAUAAACUUAAAAAAAAAUUUUUUUUAACAUUUAUUUAUUUUUGAGACACAGAGCAUGAACGGGGGAGGGUCAGAGAGAGAGGGAGACACAGAAUCGGAAACAGGCUCCAGGCCCUGAGCUGUCAGCACAGAGCCCGACGCGGGGCUCAAACUCACAGACCGCGAGAUCGUGACCUGAGCUGAAGUCGGCUGCUUAACCGACUGAGCCACCCAGGC